CCAGCGAGCCGCGUGGGGAGACGGCCUUCGGGUUGUAACCUCUUUUGUACGGGACGAAAUGACCGUUGUACUGUAGGCGCCCCGGCUGCUCCGAGCCAACAACCGCGGGAAUAAUACAUGCCAGCAGCCGCGGUAAUAA
rnacentral:rRNA from 1 species